GUAAUGGCCUACCAAGGCGACGACGGGUAGCCGACCUGAGAGGGUGACCGGCCACACUGGGACUGAGACACGGCCCAGACUCCUACGGGAGGCAGCAGUGGGGAAUAUUGCACAAUGGGCGGAAGCCUGAUGCAGCGACGCCGCGUGAGGGAUGAAGGCCUUCGGGUUGUAAACCUCUUUCAGCAGGGACGAAGCGUGAGUGACGGUACCUGCAGAAGAAGCACCGGCUAACUACGUGCCAGCAGCCGCGGUAAUACGUAGGGUGCGAGCGUUGUCCGGAAUUAUUGGGCGUAAAGAGCUCGUAGGCGGUUUGUCGCGUCUGCCGUGAAAGUCCGGGGCUUAACUCCGGAUCUGCGGUGGGUACGGGCAGACUAGAGUGUUUCAGGGGAGACUGGAAUUCCUGGUGUAGCGGUGAAAUGCGCAGAUAUCAGGAGGAACACCGAUGGCGAAGGCAGGUCUCUGGGUAGUAACUGACGCUGAGGAGCGAAAGCAUGGGUAGCGAACAGGAUUAGAUACCCUGGUAGUCCAUGCCGUAAACGGUGGGCGCUAGG
rnacentral:rRNA from 1 species